rnacentral:piRNA from 1 species
UCACUGGACAGAUGGUGUGGAGCGG